GGGUGUUGGCUGCAUACCGCAGUGGAACAGGUUCAUGCGCAGGUCGGGCCGCCGCG
rnacentral:ncRNA from 12 species